AUAAAAUGAGUCAAAUUUUACACAAUAAACCCUUAUUAAAUGCAUAAGUGACAAAGGAAAAGGUAAAAUGAUGUCAUUUACGACAUACCAUAGUCGGCGCGAACAACAAUAUGGAGAGGGAAAUCCGAAAGGAGAAAGGGUCGCUUCGUUUCAAAGCGAUGUGAACAGCAGUACGAGUCCUCCGAAAAUGACAACUGAGAGAUGAGGGAAGAUGGGGAAAAAAUUUGAACAAAGUAAUCGCCAACACAAUUAUUUUAGAACUGCAACUAACCAGCGAAAUGAGUCAGAGGAAAUUCCAGUAGAGAAAAUCGAGAUAGUUUACAGCAAAAAUGUGGUAAUUGCCACAUUAUCCAGAUAGCUGCAGCAUGAUGAGAAGAUCCCUGGUACUGUUUUGUCCAAACAAAAUUUCCAAUUUCUUCCUCUGCAUCUGAAGUGACAGUCAUAACUGUGAAAGGUGGUCAAUGUUCCACAGAGGCAAACCUGUUCAAUCCAGCAAAUUUCCUCUGCGUUUGAGUUCUUCGUUGACUUCAUUGACAAGGAGAAUCACGAAAUGUAUGGAUAGAAAAAUAGCUGCCAGUGAACUAUGCAGUUCUGAAGCUAGCAUUUAGUAGAGGAAGAGGGCACACAACAAGUUUUGUCAAAAGAGUGUCGAAGUGGACCAAGAGUAACAAAGUCAUCAAAGAUGACAUUCGCUUGCUGAACAUUUUGAAUAUACUUUUAUAAGUGAUAGUUAAAGCUCAUUAUAUCAGAAGUACAUUCGCUUGCUGAACAUUUUGGAUAUACUUUUAUAAGUGAUAGUUAAAGCUCAUUAUAUCAGAAGUGAUAGUUAAAGUUCAUUAUAUCAGAAGUGUAUAUACUGCCUUUGAUUUUCAUUAUUCCUGAACUAGUUAUUAGGUCCAGUACAUGUAUGUACUGUAUGAUGUAGCAUAACACAACACCCCCCCCCCCCCCCC